rnacentral:rRNA from 1 species
GACGGAGGAUGCAAGUGUUAUCCGGAAUCACUGGGCGUAAAGCGUCUGUAGGUGGUUUAAAAAGUCCACUGUUAAAAAUUGAAGCUUAACUUCAAAGAUGCCGUGGAAACUUUUAAACUUGAGGAUGAUAGGGGUAGAGGGAAUUUCCAGUGGAGCGGUGAAAUGCGUAGAUAUUGGAAAGACCACCAAUGGCGAAGGCACUCUACUGGGCCAUUACUGACACUGAGAGACGAAAGCUAGGGGAGCGAAUAGG